AGAGUUUGAUUAUGGCUCAGGAUGAACGCUAGCUACAGGCUUAACACAUGCAAGUCGAGGGGCAGCAUGAAAUUUGCUUGCAAACUUGAUGGCGACCGGCGCACGGGUGAGUAACGCGUAUCCAACCUUCCCUAUAGUAGAGGAUAGCCCGGCGAAAGUCGGAUUAAUACUCUAUGUUGUAUUUUUGCGGGCAUCUAACUAAUACCAAAGGUUUACCGCUAUAGGGUGGGGGAUGCGUCUGAUUAGGUAGUCGGCGGGGUAACGGCCCACCGAGCCGUCGAUCAGUAGGGGUUCUGAGAGGAAGGUCCCCCACAUUGGAACUGAGACACGGUCCAAACUCCUACGGGAGGCAGCAGUGAGGAAUAUUGGUCAAUGGGCGAGAGCCUGAACCAGCCAAGUAGCGUGCCAGGACGACGGCCCUAUGGGUUGUAAACUGCUUUUAUACAGGGAUAAAGUGCAUCACGUGUGGUGUUUUGUAGGUACUGUAUGAAUAAGGACCGGCUAAUUCCGUGCCAGCCGCAGC
rnacentral:rRNA from 1 species